AUAUUAAUAAGCGGAGGAAAAGAAACUAACAAGGAUUCCCCUAGUAACGGCGAGUGAAGCGGGAAAAGCUCAAAUUUAAAAUCUCCUUUUUAAGGCGAAUUGUAGUUUAGAGAAGUGUUUUCGGGGGUAGCUUGAGCAUAAGCCUUUGGAAAGAGGCAUCAUAGAGGGUGAGAAUCCCGUUUAUAGUUCAAUGUCUACUCUUAUGUGAUACACUUUCAAAGAGUCGAGUUGUUUGGGAAUGCAGCUCAAAAUGGGUGGUAAAUACCAUCUAAAGCUAAAUAUUGGCGAGAGACCGAUAGCGCACAAGUA
rnacentral:rRNA from 1 species